rnacentral:rRNA from 1 species
UUGAACGCUGGCGGCAUGCCUUACACAUGCAAGUCGAACGGCAGCACGGGUGCUUGCACCUGGUGGCGAGUGGCGAACGGGUGAGUAAUGCAUCGGAACGUACCCAGGAGUGGGGGAUAACGUAGCGAAAGUUACGCUAAUACCGCAUAUUCUGUGAGCAGGAAAGCGGGGAUCGCAAGACCUCGCGCUCUUGGAUGCGCCCGAUGUCGGAUUAGCUAGUUGGUGAGGUAAAGGCUCACCAAGGCGACGAUCCGUAGCAGGUCUGAGAGGAUGAUCUGCCACACUGGGACUGAGACACGGCCCAGACUCCUACGGAGGGCAGCAGUGGGGAAUUUUGGACAAUGGGGGCAACCCUGAUCCAGCCAUGCCGCGUGAGUGAAGAAGGCCUUCGGGUUGUAAAGCUCUUUCGGCGGGGAAGAAAACGUACUGGUUAAUACCCAGUGCGGAUGACGGUACCCGCAUAAGAAGCACCGGCUAACUACGUGCCAGCAGCCGCGGUAAUACGUAGGGUGCGAGCGUUAAUCGGAAUUACUGGGCGUAAAGCGUGCGCAGGCGGUUUCGUAAGACAGACGUGAAGUCCCCGGGCUCAACCUGGGAACUGCGUUUGUGGACUGCGAGGCUAGAGUGUAGCAGAGGGGGGUGGAAUUCCACGUGUAGCAGUGAAAUGCGUAGAGAUGUGGAGGAACACCAAUGGCGAAGGCAGCCCCCUGGGCUAACACUGACGCUCAUGCACGAAAGCGUGGGGAGCAAACAGGAUUAGAUACCCUGGUAGUCCACGCCCUAAACGAUGUCAACUAGGUGUUGGGAGGGUUAAACCUUUUAGUACCGCAGCUAACGCGUGAAGUUGACCGCCUGGGGAGUACGGCCGCAAGGUUAAAACUCAAAGGAAUUGACGGGGGACCCGCACAAACGGUGGAUGAUGUGGAUUAAUUCGAUGCAACGCGAAAGAACCUUACCUACCCUUGACAUGUCAGGAAUCCGGCUGAGAGGUUGGAGUGCCCGAAAGGGAGCCUGAACACAGGUGUGCUGCAUGGCUGUCGUCAGCUCGUGUCGUGAGAUGUUGGGUUAAGUCCCGCAACGAGCGCAACCCUUGUCGUUAAUUGCCAUCAUUUAGUUGGCACUUUAAUGAAACUGCCGGUGACAAACCGGAGGAAGGUGGGGAUGACGUCAAGUCCUCAUGGCCCUUAUGGGUAGGGCUUCACACGUCAUACAAUGGUCGGUACAGAGGGUUGCCAACCCGCGAGGGGGAGCUAAUCUCAGAAAGCCGAUCGUAGUCCGGAUCGCAGUCUGCAACUCGACUGCGUGAAGUCGGAAUCGCUAGUAAUCGCGGAUCAGCAUGUCGCGGUGAAUACGUUCCCGGGUCUUGUACACACCGCCCGUCACACCAUGGGAGUGGGUUUCUACCAGAAGUAGUUAGCCUAACCGUAAGGAGGGCGAUUACCACGGUAGGGUUCAUGACUGGGUGA